rnacentral:rRNA from 1 species
UACGUAGGGUCCGAGCGUUGUCCGGAAUUACUGGGCGUAAAGAGCUCGUAGGUGGUUUGUCGCGUUGUUCGUGAAAACUCACAGCUUAACUGUGGGCGUGCGGGCGAUACGGGCAGACUGGAGUACUGCAGGGGAGACUGGAAUUCCUGGUGUAGCGGUGGAAUGCGCAGAUAUCAGGAGGAACACCGGUGGCGAAGGCGGGUCUCUGGGCAGUAACUGACGCUGGAGGCGCGGAAAGCCUAGGGGAGCAAACGGG